UCGACAACGGAUAUCUCGGCUCUCGCAUCGAUGAAGAACGUAGCGAAAUGCGAUACUUGGUGUGAAUUGCAGAAUCCCGUGAACCAUCGAGUCUUUGAACGCAAGUUGCGCCCCAAGCCGUUAGGCCGAGGGCACGUCUGCCUGGGU
rnacentral:rRNA from 1 species